GAUGAACGCUGGCGGCGUGCCUAAUACAUGCAAGUCGAGCGAAUGGAUUGAGAGCUUGCUCUUAUGAAGUUAGCGGCGGACGGGUGAGUAACACGUGGGUAACCUGCCCAUAAGACUGGGAUAACUCCGGGAAACCGGGGCUAAUACCGGAUAACAUUUUGAACCGCACGGUUCGAAAUUGAAAGGCGGCUUCGGCUGUCACUUAUGGAUGGACCCGCGUCGCAUUAGCUAGUUGGUGAGGUAACGGCUCACCAAGGCAACGAUGCGUAGCCGACCGGAGAGGGUGAUCGGGCACACUGGGACUGGGACCCGGCCCAGACUCCUACGGGAGGCAGCAGUAGGGAAUCUUCCGCAAUGGACGAAAGUCUGACGGAGCAACGCCGCGUGAGUGAUGAAGGCUUUCGGGUCGUAAAACUCUGUUGUUAGGGAAGAACAAGUGCUAGUUGAAUAAGCUGGCACCUUGACGGUACCUAACCAGAAAGCCACGGCUAACUACGUGCCAGCCGCCGCGGUAA
rnacentral:rRNA from 1 species